AGGGUGUAAACGCUGCAGACUUGGUGUUGGAGGCCCUUUGGGGGCAUUCAGUGCCGGAGAGAAGUUGUUAAGUCUGCUACUUGGGGAGUACGUCCGCAAGGAUGAAACUUAGAGGAAUUGGCGGGGGGAGCACCGCAACGGGAGGAGCGUGCGGUUUAAUUGGAUUCAACACCGUAAAACUCACCAGGGAAGACUGUUACAUGAAGGCCGAGCUAAAGACUCUGCUAGAUUUUCAGAGAGGAGGUGCAUGGCGUCAGUGACU
rnacentral:rRNA from 1 species